ACUCAAAUGAAUUGACGGGGGCCCGCACAAGCGGUGGAUGAUGUGGUUUAAUUCGAUGCAACGCGCAAAACCUUACCUACCCUUGACAUGCUAGGAACCCUCCAGAGACGGAGGGGUGCCCGAAAGGGAACCUAGACACAGGUGCUGCAUGGCUGUCGUCAGCUCGUGUCGUGAGAUGUUGGGUUAAGUCCCGCAACGAGCGCAACCCUUGCCAUUAGUUGCUACAUUUAGUUGGGCACUCUAAUGGGACUGCCGGUGACAAACCGGAGGAAGGUGGGGAUGACGUCAAGUCCUCAUGGCCCUUAUGGGUAGGGCUACACACGUCAUACAAUGGUCGGUACAGAGGGUUGCCAACCCGCGAGGGGGAGCCAAUCUCAGAAAGCCGAUCGUAGUCCGGAUUGCAGUCUGCAACUCGACUGCAUGAAGUCGGAAUCGCUAGUAAUCGCGGAUCAGCAUGUCGCGGUGAAUACGUUCCCGGGCCUUGUACACACCGCCCGU
rnacentral:rRNA from 1 species